rnacentral:rRNA from 1 species
AGUCAUAUGCUUGUCUCAAAGAUUAAGCCAUGCAUGUCUCAGUACAAGCCUAAUUAAGGUGAAACCGCGAAAGGCUCAUUAAAUCAGUUAUGGUUCCUUAGAUCGUACCCACAUUUACUUGGAUAACUGUGGUAAUUCUAGAGCUAAUACAUGCAAACAGAGCUCCGACCGGAGACGGGAGGAGUGCUUUUAUUAGAUCAAAACCAAUCGGCGGCGGGCGCGUUCGCGCGUCCGUUCGCCGCUCAAACUGGUGACUCUGAAUAACUUUCCGCUGAUCGCACGGUCUCGCACCGGCGACGCAUCUUUCAAAUGUCUGCCUUAUCAACUGUCGAUGGUAGGUUCUGCGCCUACCAUGGUCGUAACGGGUAACGGGGAAUCAGGGUUCGAUUCCGGAGAGGGAGCCUGAGAAACGGCUACCACAUCCAAGGAAGGCAGCAGGCGCGCAAAUUACCCACUCCCGGCACGGGGAGGUAGUGACGAAAAAUAACGAUACGGGACUCAUCCGAGGCCCCGUAAUCGGAAUGAGUACACUUUAAAUCUUUUAACGAGGAUCAAUUGGAGGGCAAGUCUGGUGCCAGCAGCCGCGGUAACUCCAGCUCCAAUAGCGUAU